rnacentral:rRNA from 1 species
ACGAGAUCUUCGGGUCUAGUGGCGCACGGGUGCGUAACGCGUGCGAUCUGCCCUUUGGUUCGGAAUACCGUUGGAACGACUGCUAAUACCGGAUGAUGACGAAGUCCAAAGAUUUAUCGCCAGAGGAUGAGCCCGCGUAGGAUUAGCUAGUUGGUGUGGGAAAGGCGCACCAAGGCGACGAUCCUUAUCUGGUCUGAGAGGAUGAUCAGCCACACUGGGACUGAGACACGGCCCAGACUCCUACGGGAGGCAGCAGUGGGGAAUAUUGGACAAUGGGCGAAAGCCUGAUCCAGCAAUGCCGCGUGAGUGAUGAAGGCCUUAAGGUUGUAAAGCUCUUUUACCCGGGAUGAUAAUGACAGUACCGGGAGAAUAAGCUCCGGCUAACUCCGUGCCAGCAGCCGCGGUAAUACGGAGGGAGCUAGCGUUGUUCGGAAUUACUGGGCGUAAAGCGCACGUACGCGGCUUUGUAAGUUAGAGGUGAAAGCCUGGAGCUCAACUCCAGACCUGCCUUUAAUGACUGCAUCGCUUGAGUCCAGGAGAGGUGAGUGGAAUUCCGAGUGUACAGGUGAAAUUCGUAGAUAUUCGGAACAACACCAGUGGCGAAUGCGGCUCACUGGACUGGUAUUGACGCUGAGGUGCGAAAGCGUGAAAAGCAAUAUAUGAUUAGAUACCCUGGUAGUCCACACCGUAUACGAUGAUGACUCGCUGCCCCCGGGACUUGGUCUUUGAGUGGACGCAGCUAACCCAUUAUAUUAUCCGCCCGGCGCAGUACGGACGCCAUGCUUAUACUCAGAUGAAUUUGACUGGGGCCUG